rnacentral:rRNA from 1 species
UGCGCCCAGAUAGCCUCUAGGUGUGCCCCUCUACCUGCUCCUUAUGUGGGUGGCGAAGGUGGUGAUGGAAGGGGAGGAGAAAGUGAUGGUGGAGCCCGUACUAGCGGUGAGCGAAAUGAGAAUAGCCUAAAUCAUGAAAAACGGUAUUGUGGAAGAGCAAUACAAACAUCGUACUAAGCAAUACAAAUGCUGCACCCUAGAUGGCAAAAGUCCAGUAGCCGAAAAUAUCACUAGCUUACACUCUAACUCGAGUAGCAUGGGACACGUGGAAUCCCGGGGGAAUCAACAAGGACCACCUUGCAAGGCUAAAUACUUCUGGGUGACCGAUAGCCACGUAGUAUUGAGAGGGAA